rnacentral:rRNA from 1 species
UCGUUGAUUUCACACUGCCGAGAAAAGCCUCUAGAUAGAAAAUAGGUGCCCGUACCGCAAACCGACACAGGUAGUCAAGAUGAGAAUUCUAAGGUGAGCGAGCGAACUCUCGUUAAGGAACUCGGCAAAAUGACCCCGUAACUUCGGGAGAAGGGGUGCUCUUUAGGGUUAACGCCCAGAAGAGCCGCAGUGAAUAGGCCCAAGCGACUGUUUAUCAAAAACACAGGUCUCUGCUAAACCGUAAGGUGAUGUAUAGGGGCUGACGCCUGCCCGGUGCUGGAAGGUUAAGAGGAGUGGUUAGCUUCUGCGAAGCUACGAAUCGAAGCCCCAGUAAACGGCGGCCGUAACUAUAACGGUCCUAAGGUAGCGAAAUUCCUUGUCGGGUAAGUUCCGACCCGCACGAAAGGCGUAACGAUUUGGGCACUGUCUCAACGAGAGACUCGGUGAAAUCAUAGUACCUGUGAAGAUGCAGGUUACCCGCGACAGGACGGAAAGACCCCGUGGAGCUUUACUGUAGCCUGAUAUUGAAAUUCGGCACAGCUUGUACAGGAUAGGUAGGAGCCUUUGAAACGUGAGCGCUAGCUUACGUGGAGGCGCUGGUGGG